rnacentral:rRNA from 1 species
UACGUAGGGGGCUAGCGUUGUCCGGAAUCAUUGGGCGUAAAGCGCGUGUAGGUGGUCAGUAAAGUUGGGUGUGAAAUCCCUCGGCUCAACCGAGGAAGUGCACUCAAAACUCACUGGCUUGAGAGUGGUAGAGGAAGGUGGAAUUCCUAGUGUAGAGGUGAAAUUCGUAAAUAUUAGGAGGAAUACCGGAGGCGAAGGCGGCCUUCUGGACCAUUUCUGACACUGAGACGCGAAAGCGUGGGUAGCAAACAGG